AGGUACCCUGUAAUGGGACAAAUUUGUUGUCAUAGGGGAGGAUGCUUGCCAUCUAGUGGGGAAACUCCAAACUCCUUAAAAUGAAUCAAAGAGAGGAAUCUUGCCUACAAAGAAAAUCAAAAUAAUCCUCCCAGGCUCGCUCUGACUCCACUGCACGGGGAGGCGGACAGUCAUAGGCUUUUCUUUCGGAUGGCCCUGCGGCUGGGGACAUAGCACAAUCCCGCUACAUGAAGAAGCACAUUGCGGGAGCUGAUCGCAACAUACUGCUAUGCGCUGAACAUUCCCUGUGCAGAGGAACUUUCAUGUCAAACUCCGGCUGGAGCACGCUGGACCUGUCAUGCUUCGAGGCUAACUCUCCUUGCCGGGGGACCGCGGACGCAGCAUUACUGAUUCAUUCAUGAUGUACUGAUUUGUUUGUACUGCAAUGACAUGUUUUGUCACAUGACAACUUAUGUUUACAUUGUUACUAUGACUUCCUGUCCGUCACACUCAGCAUGCCGGCCGUCACGUGAUGUCACUAAUGGGCGCCUCCUCGUGCUUUUAACUGGUGCCUGUAAGCAUUACAGUUAGACAGUAGAGGUGGGCCAAGUGCUGAAACGCGUCCUGUUUGUAGGAUUUACA